rnacentral:ncRNA from 2 species
CUAACAUGCCCGCGUAUCGGUGCCCCUUGAUCGGGGCCCAAAAGGGAAUGCGGUGCGGCCCGGAACAUCCGGUGCCAAAUCCGCAGCCGCCCCCGCGACUGUGAGCGGAGAGCGGACGCCCAUCACGCCACUGGCCCGUCAUGGCCGGGAAGGCGGGCGUCAGCUGUGACCCGCAAGCCAGGAGACCUGCCGGUGCAUGAAACCGUAA